UGUCCUCAAACACACCCACGAUGUGGUACUCCGGCUACGCGAUCGUCUUCGACUCUAUGACGCACCUGAACACACGCACGACACAGCCAGGCACAGGCGAGACACAACCGUAACUCGUCAUCUUCUUCACCAUGAGUUAACCGAUCACACGCCAUUAAUUCAUCCUUCGAUGUCGCGAGCCACCACCGGUUCUGCUGCUAGCGUUGAGCUACUUCUAGCUCCAUUACAUUUUGAACAAGAUAAAGCUUUGGUUGUAGUUAGAGAGAGAGAGAGAGAGAUGGAGAAAGCAGUGGCGGAGGCGGAGGAGCUGCCGAAGGCUAUCGUGCGCAGAGUGGUGAAGGAUAAGCUGUCUCACUGCGCCGAAGACACCGACUUCAACGUCCACAAGGAUGCUCUCCUUGCUUUCUCCGAAAGCGCUCGCAUCUUCAUCCACUACCUUUCCGCCACGGCAAAUGAUAUAUGCAAGGAGUCAAAGAGGCAGACUAUAAGCGGGGACGAUGUAUUGAAAGCUUUGGAAGAGAUUGAAUUCUCUGAGUUUCUCAACCCUCUCAAUGCCUCUCUUGUUGGUUGCCAUCUUGAAUGGUAUUACUAUGGGAGCUGGAGCUGGAAUUUCAUUCCCAGGAAUGUUCUGAUUGGUGACUAAUAAAACUGCACUUAUUUUUGCGAAAGAAUUAGCUACGCUUGGAAAUGGAGAAAAAGUCAAAUUUGAGCAAGAAAAACGUUCACAAACUCAUUAAUUUAUAAGAGAGAGAUUGGGAAGUUGAGGCUUUCUGAAAUAACUUGUCAACAAGGGAAUACCCAUGAACAGAAGACAUCCACAACUUUCACUCACUUCACUUGUUCAACUCAACGGUAUAAGCAGAUAUCAACAUCACUCUCAAGUAAACCACAUUAGCCUCUUUGGGAUGGUGUGUAAGGGGAAACAAGGACCUUGUUCCAUGUAGUCCCCAUGUCAGUAUGUCGAACUGAACCAAAACCCAUGGUUGUGAUGAAGAGGAAGAGUGUCGAAUCCCAUGCUCUGAGAACAAUGACUGACCCUUUUUUCCAAAAACAACUGCAGCAGACGCAGUUGUUGACCUCGAACCACUCCAAGAUGUACACCAAAAUAGGCAUUCUGAUCUAGAGUAGUGUCAAACUCCACCGACAAGGUAUCCGAAGAGCAUGCAAUAAUAGUAAGAUCGAAUGCGACUAUCUCCUAAUAAGAUAAUAUCCCGAAUGACCAGUAUACAAUUCCAUUAUAUUCAAUAGGUGUAUGAUACCAAUCAUAUACCUUGACCGGAAAGUGGAAUCUAAAACAGACACUCCAUUUUCUUGUCUCAAGAGAGAAGAUGGAUGCAUGAAAUUUGUUGCUCGGCGGUGGAUGAAGAGCUGAAGUGAUUAUGACGACCUUGUAUGAUGACGAGAAUAAUAGUACAAAUUCACACUUAUAUGUAAUGUUCGCAGAGUAGCAUGUGAGUUCUUCGUACAAAAUCUGGGGACAUGGGAGGAGUUCAACCACUUGUUUGGUUACGGGGUUAACGAUACAGAAGCAGUAGUUCGAUACGUGAAGU